UACGUAGGGUGCGAGCGUUGUCCGGAAUUAUUGGGCGUAAAGGGCUCGUAGACGGUUUGUCGCGUCGGGAGUGAAAACUCAGGGCUCAACCCUGAGCGUGCUUCCGAUACGGGCAGACUAGAGUGCGGUAGGGGAGACUGGAAUUCCUGGUGUAGCGGUGGAAUGCGCAGAUAUCAGGAGGAACACCGAUGGCGAAGGCAGGUCUCUGGGCCGCAACUGACGCUGAGGAGCGAAAGCAUGGGGAGCGAACAGG
rnacentral:rRNA from 1 species